rnacentral:misc_RNA from 1 species
UCUCCGUUGGUGAACCAGCGGAGGGAUCAUUACCGAGUGCAAACUCAUAACCCUUUGUGAACCUAUUUCUGUUGCUUCGGCGGCUCGCUCUCGGUCGAGCCCGCCGGUAAUAUCAGUAUCUCUUUUUGAAACCGACGAUACUUCUUAGUGUUCUUAGCGAACAGUUAAAACUUUUAACAACGGAUCUCUUGGCUCUA